GAUGAACGCUGGCGGCGUGCUUAACACAUGCAAGUCGAACGGAAAGGCCCAAGCUUGCUUGGGUACUCGAGUGGCGAACGGGUGAGUAACACGUGGGUGAUCUGCCCUGCACUUCGGGAUAAGUCUGGGAAACUGGGUCUAAUACCGGAUAGGACGAUGGUUUGGAUGCCAUUGUGGAAAGUUUUUUCGGUGUGGGAUGAGCUCGCGGCCUAUCAGCUUGUUGGUGGGGUAAUGGCCUACCAAGGCGUCGACGGGUAGCCGGCCUGAGAGGGUGUACGGCCACAUUGGGACUGAGAUACGGCCCAGACUCCUACGGGAGGCAGCAGUGGGGAAUAUUGCACAGUGGGCGCAAGCCUGAUGCAGCGACGCCGCGUGGGGGAUGACGGCCUUCGGGUUGUAAACUCCUUUCGCUAGGGACGAAGCGUUUUUGUGACGGUACCUGGAGAAGAAGCACCGGCUAACUACGUG
rnacentral:rRNA from 1 species